rnacentral:rRNA from 1 species
UACGUAGGGCGCAAGCGUUGUCCGGAAUUAUUGGGCGUAAAGAGCUCGUAGGUGGUUUGUUACGUCUGCUGUGAAAACCUAGGGCUUAACCCUGGGCCUGCAGUGGAUACGGGCAGACUAGAGGUAGGUAGGGGAGAAUGGAAUUCCCGGUGUAGCGGUGAAAUGCGCAGAUAUCGGGAGGAACACCGGUGACGAAGGCGGUUCUCUGGGCCUUACCUGACACUGAGGAGCGAAAGCGUGGGGAGCGAACAGG